UUCGUAUAUAACUGACUAAGAUAAUUAUUAUCAGUAUAUGAUGACUGACGACAUUGUGAAACAAAACAUAUUAUUAAAUGUAUUUAAUUUAUGAACCACUAAUAGCGUUCGGGUUCGCGAAGACAAUAGUGUUUCUUGUAUCAUACCGUCGCUCGUUGUGCCCAUAUACCUAUCUAAUACGGUUAGUAAAUUAUAAUAUUGUGUAAUUUGAUAGAUACAUUUA